GCGUUGGAUUAGCUAGUUGGUGGGGUAAAGGCCUACCAAGGCGACGAUCCAUAGCUGGUCUGAGAGGAUGAUCAGCCACAUUGGGACUGAGACACGGCCCAAACUCCUACGGGAGGCAGCAGUGGGGAAUAUUGGACAAUGGGCGCAAGCCUGAUCCAGCCAUGCCGCGUGAGUGAUGAAGGCCCUAGGGUUGUAAAGCUCUUUCACCGGUGAAGAUAAUGACGGUAACCGGAAAAGAAGCCCCGGCUAACUUCGAGCCAGCAGCCGCGGUAAUACGAAGGGGGCUAGCGUUGUUCGGAAUUACUGGGCGUAAAGCGCACGUAGGCGGAUUGUUAAGUGAGGGGUGAAAUCCCAGGGCUCAACCCUGGAACUGCCUUUCAUACUGGCAAUCUGGAGUCCAGAAGAGGUGAGUGG
rnacentral:rRNA from 1 species